rnacentral:rRNA from 1 species
GACGAACGCUGGCGGCGUGCUUAACACAUGCAAGUCGAACGGAAAGGCCCUGCUUUUGUGGGGUGCUCGAGUGGCGAACGGGUGAGUAACACGUGAGUAACCUGCCCUUGACUUUGGGAUAACUUCAGGAAACUGGGGCUAAUACCGGAUAGGAGCUCCUGCUGCAUGGUGGGGGUUGGAAAGUUUCGGCGGUUGGGGAUGGACUCGCGGCUUAUCAGCUUGUUGGUGGGGUAGUGGCUUACCAAGGCUUUGACGGGUAGCCGGCCUGAGAGGGUGACCGGCGACAAUGGGACUGAGAGACGGCCCAGACUCCUACGGGAGGCAGCAGUGGGGAAUAUUGCACAAUGGGCGGAAGCCUGAUGCAGCAACGCCGCGUGCGGGAUGACGGCCUUCGGGUUGUAAACCGCUUUCGCCUGUGACGAAGCGUGAGUGACGGUAAUGGGUAAAGAAGCACCGGCUAACUACGUG